GACGAACGCUGGCGGCGUGCUUAACACAUGCAAGUCGAACGGAAAGGCCCUGCUUUUGUGGGGUGCUCGAGUGGCGAACGGGUGAGUAACACGUGAGUAACCUGCCCUUGACUUUGGGAUAACUUCAGGAAACUGGGGCUAAUACCGGAUAGGAGCUCCUGCUGCAUGGUGGGGGUUGGACAGUUUCGGCGGUUGGGGAUGGACUCGCGGCUUAUCAGCUUGUUGGUGGGGUAGUGGCUUACCAAGGCUUUGACGGGUAGCCGGCCUGAGAGGGUUACCGGCCACAUUGGGACUGAGAUACGGCCCAGACUCCUACGGGAGGCAGCAGUGGGGAAUAUUGCACAAUGGGCGGAAGCCUGAUGCAGCAACGCCGCGUGCGGGAUGAAGGCCUUCGGGUUGUAAACCGCUUUCGCCUGUGACGAAGCGUGAGUGACGGUAAUGGGUAAAGAAGCACCGGCUAACUACGUG
rnacentral:rRNA from 1 species